rnacentral:rRNA from 1 species
AAAACAUGUCCUUUAGAAUUUAAUUUAAGGUCUAGCCUGCCCACUGAAUUAAAUGGCCGCAGUAUUUUAACUGUGCAAAGGUAGCAUAAUCAUUAGUCUUUUAAUUGAAGGCUUGUAUGAAUGGUUGGACGAAAUAUUAGCUGUUUCAUAAAAAUUUAUUUAGAAUUUUAUUUUUUAGUUAGAAAGCUAAAAUAAUUUUAAAAGACGAGAAGACCCUAUAGAUCUUUAUAAUUUUAUAAUUAUUGUUAUUUAGAUUAUUUAAAUUAUAAUUAAAAAAAUUAUUUUGUUGGGGUGACAUUAAAAUUUAAUAAACUUUUAAUAUAUUUUUACAUUAAUUUAUGACUAAUUGAUCCAUUAUUAAUGAUUAUAAAAUUAAGUUACCUUAGGGAUAACAGCGUAAUUUUUUUGAAGAGUUCAUAUCGAUAAAAAAGAUUGCGACCUCGAUGUUGGAUUAAGAUAUAAUUUUGGGUGCAGCAAUUCAAUAACUAAGUCUGUUCGACUUUUGAUUUCUUACAUGA